rnacentral:pre_miRNA from 1 species
UUAGCUCAUAUUUGUAUGGAAUGGGAUCGUUUGCGUACGUUUGCCGCUAGGAGCGCUGUUCUAAUUGCAUACAAAAUUGGGUUA